UGACAAUUGUAAAAGGAAAAAUUACUGCUCCUUCUACAGUGGGAAAACUGAAGAUUUGCUUGGUCAUUGAUGGUGAAGAUUUUCUGUGGAGAAGAACCUACAUCCAUUUCCAAGAUAAAUACUCUUAAGGUCCAUUGUCUGCAGCAUCCCCCCCACAGUGGGCACAGGACUAUCUUCCAAGUAGUGCAAACACCAGGCUGGUUUUGAAGAGUGAAAUAUCAAAAGAAAAGUCAAAACUGUGUAUGUAACUCGUGUGACAUUUUCACUUUGGCCUCAUUUUUCUAAAAGACCAGAGCAUAUUGAUCCACUUCCCAUAUUUCGUUCAUAGGCAGCCCAAGAGAAAAUGAACUGAAAUGUUGUAAGCCAGAGACAACUAAUAGGCAGAUCACUGAAGUUAGUCAAUCACUCCAGGCAAAUGAGCAUACGUUUCUUUCUAGCCCCUUAAAAAGGAAGACUUUCCUCAGCAUUGCCACCUGUGCACUUGUGAGUGACAGCACUCCCAGCUGAAGUUUGGAUCUGUGAAUCAUGCUGAUGAUCAGUAGGGUAAACCUUCUACAAAAGGUGAGAUCCUUGAAGUAUUCCCUUUCCCUGUGAAACUCACCGUGUCUUAUCCACAAAGAAUUGGAUCCAGCUUCUUUUCAUCCAUGUACUUGUUUCUCACCAGCACUGGGACAUCUGGGCAAUAACAUUGACUGCCUCUGCAAAAGUAGACAGGCAACUGUGCGAGUGCUCUUGAUGAUAGAUCCCACAAAUACGUUUGCAAAGGCAGAAGAUGGGAUUGAAAGCUACAUAUCCCAUGACGGAGGGUCUUCUGUUAUCUGUCCAAGAGGAACAUGCAGAGUCCACACAGAGCUGCACAUCCAGGCCUGCCAGGUCCUUGGCCAUAAGAAGCUCACCCACCAGGAUCACUACAGCUGUACAUCACGCUGUACUCCAGACUGAUGCCUGAUUAUGGAAAGCAUUGGAUUUGGCAGCUGGAGUACUCCUAGAGAGUCCUCUACCAGUGUUUUGCUUAGACAUGAGAGUUUAUAUAUCUAAAGAAUUCAUGUUUCACAUACUUGUUGAAGUGAAGAUAGAUGGCAGAAAGAGGUCUAAGAAGCCUUAUGUGCCCUAGUUUUCAAUCAGUUCUGAGCUUAGCUUUAAUAUAAAAAUCUGUUAUUUCAAACCUUAAACCUUCUGUUAGAAUUUUAACUUUAAAAUCAAAGGUUUCUUUCUCACAAGAGAUUUAAUUUCUUUAUGGAUUGUUGUAUUAAAAUAAAAUCUUCCUGUUGAUCUUCUCCCUCUUUUUA
rnacentral:lncRNA from 1 species